rnacentral:ncRNA from 1 species
AUCUCUCAAUUUAUACAUGCAAGCAUCCCCACCCCGGUGAAAACACCCUUCCCCCCCCUUCCUCGGGGGGAAGGGGUUGGUAUCAGGCACAAAAAUCUGCCCAUAACACCUAGCCCCGCCACAUCCACAAGGAAACCAGCAGCUAUUAAUAUUGAACAUAAGCGCAAGCUUGAUUCAGUUAUAGUAAACAGAGCCGGCCAAACUGGUGCCAGCCGCCGCGGUUACACCAUACGGCUCAAAUUGAUUUUAUCCGGCGUAAAGCGUGAUUAAAGUCACCACCCAUUAGAGUUAAACUUAAACCGAGUUGUAACACACACAUUUUAUAAGGAAACCCAAAAACGAAAGUUACUCUAACACAAACAACUUGAACUCACGACAGCUGAGAAACAAACUGGGAUUAGAUACCCCAUUAUGCUCAGCCGUAAACCUUUAUUUACACCAAAAUCGCCAGGGAACUACGAGCCAAGCUUAAAACCCAAAGGACUUGACGGUACCCCACAUCCAUCUAGAGGAGCCUGUCCCAUAAUCGAUAAUCCACGUUUAACCUUACCAUUCUUAGCCAAGUCAGCCUGUAUACCUCCGUCGUCAGCUCACCCCGUGAGCGAAAAUUAGUGAGCUUAAUGUUUUUACACAGCACGUCAGGUCAAGGUGCAGCAAAUAGAGUGGAGAGAGAUGAGCUACACUUUCUACAUUAGAAGAAACGAAAAACUACCUAUGAAACCUAGUUGGAAGGCGGAUUUAGCAGUAAAAAGGAAUCAAUAUGUCCAUUUUAACCCGGCACUGGGGUGCGUACACACCGCCCGUCACCCUCCUCAAAGCCAUUAAUACAGUUUUUAACAAACUAAAGCACAAGAGAGGAGGUAAGUCGUAACAUGGUAAGCGUACCGGAAGGUGUGCUUGGAAA